rnacentral:rRNA from 1 species
UACGAAGGGGGGCUAGCGUUGUUCGGAUUUACUGGGCGUAAAGCGCACGUAGGCGGAUCGUUAAGUCGGGGGUGAAAUCCUGGAGCUCAACUCCAGAACUGCCUUUGAUACUGGGGAUCUCGAGUCCGGAAGAGGUGAGUGGAACUCCGAGUGUAGAGGUGAAAUUCGUAGAUAUUCGGAAGAACACCAGUGGCGAAGGCGGCUCACUGGUCCGGUACUGACGCUGAGGUGCGAAAGCGUGGGGAGCAAACAGG